rnacentral:rRNA from 1 species
UGCCAGCCGCCGCGGUAAUACGGAGGGUACAAGCGUUGUUCGGAAUUAUUGGGCGUAAAGCGCGUGUAGGCGGUUCGUUAAGUCUGAUGUGAAAGGCCGGGGCUCAACCCCGGAAGUGCAUUGGAUACUGGCAGACUUGAGUACGGGAGAGGGAAGUGGAAUUCCUAGUGUAGGAGUGAAAUCCGUAGAUAUUCGGAGGAACACCAGUGGCGAAGGCGGCUUUCUGGACCGAUACUGACGCUGAGAAGCGAAAGCAUGGGGAGCAAACAGGAUUAGAUA